UCGGUUAUCGGUUAACUUUAUUUUGUGCUGAGACUUUGCUAAAGACGGCACAAAAAGCGACUUGAGAGAUUUAUUCCCUAAGUUUCUGAAGGAAGUGAUUCAGACCUGAAAGAUGUGUCCAGUUCUUCCUCAUCUUCAGGACCACAGCUACUGCAGGAGGCCGCGGUGGAAGAGACGGCGGAAGCAGCAGGACGGCAGCUCAGGAAGGGAAGACCAACCUCCAGAGAGACGGCCGCGUCCGAGUGCCGCUGCUCCAGAGCCAGAUGCUCCGCCUCCGGUCCUCCAGGAGCCCGAGGAGAACGUUCAGCCCGCCGCUCCCCAACCUCCGCUGUUGUCCGACUCCGCUGUACAGGUCAUUCAGGAGUCGAUUAUGGGAUGGCUGACUGACUCUCCAUACAACUCGGAGAUGUAACACACAUGCACACACCCACACCCACCUACACACACACAUCAUAAACAUGCCUACAAGCACACCCACACACACACACACACACACACACAAAAUCACUUUUUACAUUUGACUUUAUUUUCUUAAAUAACUUCUGUUUUUCCAAGUCUAUUAAGAGAAUGAAGACGACGUUUUUUGUUUUUUUUUACUUUUAGUCUAUUAGGUUUUUCUUAAAAAAAUGGGAAUAAAAAAACAACAUAUCUUUUACCUAUUUCAUUUUCCUCUGAGAAAUAAGAUUUUUUUUUAUUUUUUAAGUUUUCCUUAUUUAUUUCCAUUUUAUUUUUAAUUACUUUUGAAGUUUUUAGUUUGUAGAUUGCCUUUUAUUCUCAAAAAAGUAAGUAGUUUUUUCCUCUAGGUUAUGUGAACUUUUCUUUUUCAAACUAAUUAUUCUCCAUAUUUUCCUGUUGAGUAGCAGAAACACAAACUCAUUUAAAAAAAACAGUAAGUUCCCUUCUCUGUAACCUUAAGAAAACUUGUGCAAAAUAACAAACAAAAAGAACAAAAAUGACAAAUUAUUUUUCAUACUAAAAGUUCUUCAGGAUUAAGGUGAGGCAAACUUGAAUAAUUUACAUAGAUGAAUAACAGAAAAAGUUUUGGUUUUGUCUUUUUUAUCAUGCAGCAUUAUCAUCAGAAUUAUUGUUGUUCAUGCAGGAACUUAGAAAUGAAUGUGUUUAAUAACUUGGAACAUUUUCAGAAUAAACUCUUGUUUUUUCCUUUUUGCAUUCAAAUGACUAACGUGAACCUUUUGAACUAUUUGUUGUUGUUCAUAUUUACUAUUUGGAAUGAGACUAACCAAGUAAUAUGAACACCAACACUGCAGAAAUGACUCCAUCUUGGAAAUAUGCUUUCCCAAAGGCUUCAUCAAUCAAUCAAAGACCCUGGAUCCCAGUCAUGGUCUGAGCCUCCAGCAGAACCGAGCAGACCAGCUGGAGUCUGUUUGUGUGCAGAGGAGCAGUGUUCUAGCUCCUCUUGACAGCAUCCUGUAUCAUCAUCCUCCUUCAUCCUUCACGCCAUCCUUCAGCUGUUCAAGUUCAAACGGAUCCAAAGGAAAGUAGCAAUAAAAACGCAUUUUCAGCCAUAUAAACACAUAAGAAAAUGCAUUUUUCUGUUUUCUGCUUCAGGUUAGUGUUGGAAAGUGAGAGUGAAGCAGGUUUGAACUCAAACCAGGAGAUCUUCCAUCACUGGAGGCUGAGUUUGGUGACAAACUUUUAUCUGAACUUUGACCACAAACCCGUCUCAGUUCCAGAUGCUUCAUAUGCAAAGUAGAGAACUUUGGUUUCUGACCAACAAAGUCCUGAACCUGUGCGUUUGUCACAAAGCUUUCCUUCCAGCUCAACAGAUGGCGAGUUCCUCUCGUUCAUGGUUCUCAGCGGCUCCAGACCUUCCUCAGCCCUCGGUCUGGCUCCACAUGCUCCAACACAACAAACCUGGACAACCGUGUCAGCAGCACAAACCCAAUGUCUCUGUGAAUGAAUCAAAUCGUUACAGAGGCACGUUUCUGUUUCCUGGAGGAGAGGCGGAUCCUCUACCGUGACUUCACAAGACGAGGAGAGGAGAUGCUGAGAUGUUUGGGACCACUCCAGAGGAAACAGAAACCCAAACCCGGAUGGGCUGCCUCAUUCCGGAUCUUCUGCAGCUUCAGCGAUGACCAGAAAUGAGGCAACUUUUACAGGAGGCAAAACAUCUGCACCUUUUGGAGUUCCUUAAACCACCACUAGGGGGUCGUUUGCAGCUGCCAAUGGCAGAAGUUCCUCAUGAGGACACGUCCUUCAGAGAACACAGACUGUGGACGUCCCGUCCAAUCCCCACGGCCUCCCCUCAAAGAGUGAGAACCGACCCCACGCAGCUCCAUGAUGACCCCUUCAGCGCCUCAGAGCCGCUCCUCUGCAUGUCAAAGCAGGAGGCAGACAUUGUUCUAUCAACAGUUCUGCAGAACCCUGCUGGCUCAGAGGAUCCACCACGCUGUUUAUCAGCUGAUCCUCCAGUUUUCGGUUCUGUCUCUGAAAAGCUGUGAAAAUACAGUUUCAUGUCAAGUUUUUAUUUUUCAACCUUCUGUCCAGCAGUCAGAAAAAACAGUGUUUGAACUGGAAUAAGUUUAAAAUUGACUUUCCCCCCGAAAAGUGUGUUUGUGUAACUUUUCUUGUCCGUUUUAGUUUAGUUGAAACUGUAUCGUUGUGUUUCUGCUGUCAGCUUUCAGUGCAGCUUCAUCUUCUGCUCUGAUCCUUUAUUUAAAACUUAAUGAUGGAACAAAUAUGUUUAAAACUGUAAAAAAAAGAACAUGUAAAACCUGUAUUGUAGUUAAUUAGUUGAUGUUUAAUGUGAUCUUGUUGUCAAUAUAACGUGUUUUCCCACUUUUAUCGA